rnacentral:rRNA from 1 species
GACAGAGGGUGCAAACGUUGUUCGGAAUUACUGGGCGUAAAGCGCGUGUAGGCGGCCCUGCAAGUCGGGUGUGAAAUCCCACGGCUCAACCGUGGAAGUGCACUCGAAACUGCAGGGCUAGAGUCCUGGAGAGGAAGGUGGAAUGCUUGGUGUAGAGGUGAAAUUCGUAGAUAUCAAGCGGAACACCGGUGGCGAAGGCGGCCUUCUGGACAGUGACGUGACGCUGAGACGCGAAAGCGUGGGGAGCAACAGG